CAGGCCUAACACAUGCAAGUCGAGCGAGGCAUCUAUCUUGAAAUCUGGCCAGCGAUAAGUGCGAAGUUGGUAUUGGAUGGGUGAGUAACGCGUGGGCAACCUACCUUGUACAGUGGGAUAACAGUCGGAAACGAUUGCUAAUACCGCAUAACACUAGAUUAAGGCAUCUUAAUCUAGUCAAAGAACUUCGGUACAAGAUGGGCCCGCGUCUGAUUAGCUAGUUGGUAAGGUAAAGGCUUACCAAGGCGACGAUCAGUAGCCGGCCUGAGAGGGUGGACGGCCACACUGGAACUGAGACACGGUCCAGACUCCUACGGGAGGCAGCAGUGGGGGAUCUUGCACAAUGGGCGCAAGCCUGAUGCAGCGACGCCGCGUGAGCGAAGAAGGCCUUCGGGUCGUAAAGCUCUGUUUCGAGGGAAGAUAAUGACGGUACCUUGAGAGAAAGCCCCGGCUAACUACGUGCCAGCAGCCGCGGUAAUACGUAGGGGGCAAGCGUUAUCCGGAAUUAUUGGGCGUAAAGGGUGCGUAGGCGGCCAUUAAAGUCAGAGGUUAAAGCCCACGGCUUAACCGUGGUAAGCCUUUGAAACUUAGUGGCUUGAGUACAGGAGAGGAGAGUGGAAUUCCUAGUGUAGCGGUGAAAUGCGUAGAUAUUAGGAGGAACACCAGUGGCGAAGGCGACUCUCUGGACUGUAACUGACGCUGAUGCACGAAAGCGUGGGUAGCGAACAGGAUUAGAUACCCUGGUAGUCCACGCCGUAAACGAUGAGUGCUAGGUGUUGGGGGUCAAACCUCAGUGCCGCAGUUAACGCAUUAAGCACUUCGCCUGGGGAGUACGGUCGCAAGACUAAAACUCAAAGGAAUUGACGGGGACCCGCACAAGCAGCGGAGCAUGUGGUUUAAUUCGAAGCAACGCGAGGAACCUUACCUGGACUUGACAUCCUUCUGCCAUAUCCAUAACGGGAUACUCUCCUUCGGGGACAGAAGAGACAGGUGGUGCAUGGUUGUCGUCAGCUCGUGUCGUGAGAUGUUGGGUUAAGUCCCGCAACGAGCGCAACCCUUGUCUUUAGUUGCCAUCAGGUAAAGCUGGGCACUCUAGAGAGACUGCCAAGGUAAACUUGGAGGAAGGUGGGGAUGACGUCAAAUCAUCAUGCCCCUUAUGUUCAGGGCUACACACGUGCUACAAUGGCCGAUACAAAGAGCAGCGAGAGGGUAACCUUAAGCAAAUCUCAUAAAGUCGGUCCCAGUUCGGAUUGUGGGCUGAAACUCGCCCACAUGAAGUCGGAGUUGCUAGUAAUCGCGAAUCAGAAUGUCGCGGUGAAUGCGUUCCCGGGCCUUGUACACACCGCCC
rnacentral:rRNA from 1 species